AACCAAUUCAUGGCAUCAUACUCCUGGCCGAUUGAAUACACGACAGCCCUGGGAUUUAUAUACAUGUACCUCUUUAAUCCCAUUUACUCAGUUGUUUAGAAAAAUCCCAGCAACAUUUCCAUCCUAAUUUUCACAGAAAACUACCAUACUACCUCAGUCUUCCCUCCGCUCACUCAAACCGAGCACGAGUGAAUCUUGAAGGAUAUAUAACCAAAAUACGCAAGCCAACCAUGUCAAACUCACUCUCCCCCAAAACACUCUCCGCCCACAUAAACCGCCUUAUAUCCCGCUGGCCCAGCGACCCUGUCCGCCCCUCCUCCGUCUCCGUACAAACAUAUCUGAAAACCCGUCUUCCCACAUCUUCUCCUUCCCCUUCAACAACAGCAGCAGCAACAACAACAACAACAACGGCACAAACACAACAACACCAACAGCGGCAGCAAUCUCAAUUCUCCACCUCCAGCAUCAAUGCGCUCUACUCACUGUUGGAAAACCGGUAUGAGAAGCAAUAUCCGUUACCGCAGAAUCUGCGACAUCCGCGCAGUGCCCCGACGCAUUAUGAUGAUGUGUUGAGGGAGUUUAGGGACGCACCCGGGAGGGGCUGGGUGAGGAGGAUGGUAGAGAAGUUUAAGGGGGUUUUGAGGUUUCAGUAGGAAGCUUUAGUUUCGGGUACGAUAUAUAUAAUAUCAGGAGGCUUUUCGGAAGGUUUUUUGGGGGAUUUUAUAUAUUGGAUGUGUAUAAUAUGGUUGGUCUCUGUUUGGUGUCUGGGACUCCCCGUUGUUGGUAUUUUUUUUGUACUUCUUUUGUAAUAGCAUGUUUAAUAUGAAUAGAUGUAUAUAUAUGAUACACCUGAUUGAUAUCUAGAAUUAUUAUCCAAGCCUGAAACAUGAAUUCUCAUACUAAAACAACUAUAUUCACACCUUUAGACAUAUAACAUCUAGCUAAAACGGAAGUCUAACCCGUCAAAAAAUGAAAGGGAGGGAAAAAAAGAAGUAACAACAUGGAUAUCAAUACCCUAACCCAAGAAGAACAGAAUAACCCUCAAUUAAACCCUUCCUUCCGCCCCAUCUCACUCACAACAUCGGCUGAACCACAUCGGCAACCUUAAACGGUGCCUCCGUCUUCGCCUUCACCUCAUCAACAGUCACGCCAUCCGCAAGCUCAACUAGAGUCAGGCCGUCCGUGAAAUCGACAUCAAAGACACAGAGCUCGGUGAUGAUGCGGCUCACGCACGCUCGGCCAGUCAGUGGGAACUCGCACUGCUUGAGGAUCUUGGGGUUGCCCUUCUUAUCAGUGUGUUCCAUGGUGACGACAACCUUGGUGGCACUAGGAUUGGAGACGAGGUCCAUGGCACCGCCGAAGCCCUUAAUCUUGCCGGGGAGCAUCCAGUUGGCCAAAUCGCCCUUCGCACUAACUUGCAUGGCACCCAGGAUCGUCAAAUUAACCCGUCCAGAGCGGAUCAUGCCAAACGAUUCGUCGCUACCAAAACACGAUGCACCAGGCAGAAGCGUAACGGUCUCCUUUCCCGCGUUGAUCAAGUCUGGAUCCUCCAUGCCACGCUUCGGAUACGGGCCCAACCCGAGAAUGCCAUUCUCAGACUGCAGCUGUACCUCCACAGACGGGUCCACAAAACUAGGAGCGAGCAUGGGCAUCCCAAUGCCCAGGUUCGCAUACAUGCCAUUCUUGAACUCCUUCGCGGCGCGUCGGACAAUACGCUCCCGCUUACUAGCCACAUCACCUUUACCGAGCGCAGACAGAUCGGCGCCCUCACCAUCCUCCUUGGCAAAAGUGUAUUUCUCAAUCUUCUUCUCCUUCGUGCUCUGAACGACGCGCUUCACAUAGAUGCCUGGCAGGUGCACAGCAGCCGGGUCAAUCUCG
rnacentral:sRNA from 1 species